UACGUAGGGUGCAAGCGUUGUUCGGAUUUACUGGGCGUAAAGGGCGCGUAGGCGGUCGUGACAAGUCACUUGUGAAAUCUCCGGGCUUAACUCGGAACGGUCAAGUGAUACUGUCGUGCUAGAGUACAGAAGGGGCAACUGGAAUUCUCGGUGUAGCGGUGAAAUGCGUAGAUAUCGAGAGGAACACCUGCGGCGAAGGCGGGUUGCUGGGCUGAUACUGACGCUGAGGCGCGAAAGCUAGGGGAGCGAACGGG
rnacentral:rRNA from 1 species